GCUUCCCGCCCCGCCCCCUUUCCCUGACCUUCCCGGAGAGGAAGUGGCCAGAGCGACCCCGGAUGGAAAGCGGGGAAAGUGGCGCGGCGCCUCGUUUUCUUGAGGGCGGGAGGCCGACGUCGCCGCUUUGCUGAACGAGGAAGCUGGAACAAACUCUUCAGCUAAUAUGGCUGAAGUAGAAGAGAGUGGAAAGCGAAAGAGAAAGUUGGCUGAAGAACCUGAUAGCAUAAGUAUCAAAUGCCCACGUAGAGAUUCUCCUGUUGAAAACGAUGAUAAAACUGCAAAUAAGUAUGAUGAAGGUCAAACAGGAGACGGAAACACACUUCAUCAUGAAACAGAAUCUGAAGAGGUUCCUAAAAAGAAAACACAUUCAGAAGAUGUAGCAGCGCAUUAUAAUAAGCUUGAAGAGGUUGGAUUGGAACAACGUAGCACGAGUCGCAUCUUCUAUCUCCGAAACUUUAACAAUUGGAUAAAGAGCGUGCUAAUUGGUGAAUUCCUUGAUAAGGUACGACAAAGAAAACAAAACAUUACAGUGUUAGACUUGGGAUGUGGUAAAGGUGGGGACUUGCUGAAGUGGAGAAAAGGCCGAAUAAGUAAACUUGUAUGUACAGAUAUUGCUGGUGUAUCUGUACAACAGUGUGAACAGCGUUACCAAGAUAUGAGAAAUCGUGGUCGCCAGAAUGAUAGAUUUUUCAGUGCAGAAUUUAUAACUGCGGAUAGCACUAAGGAACUUUUGUCUAAAAAGUACAGGGAUAGCAAUAUGUGCUUUGACAUUUGCAGCUGUCAGUUUGUGUAUCAUUAUUCAUUUGAGACCUAUGAGCAAGCGGAUAUGAUGCUUAAAAAUGCUUGUGAGCAACUUUCCCCUGGAGGAUACUUCAUUGGCACAACUCCAGAUAGUUACGAACUUGUAAAACGCCUUGAAUCUUCAGAAACAAAUUCAUUUGGAAAUGAAAUAUAUAAUGUAAAAUUUCAGAAAAAGGGAGAAUAUCCUUUGUUUGGUUGCAAAUAUGACUUUCACUUGGAAGGAGUGGUUGAUGUUCCAGAAUUCCUGGUUUAUUUUCCAUUGCUGGAAGACAUGGCAAAGAAAUAUAAAAUGAAACUAGUUUACAAAAAAACCUUUUGGGAAUUUUAUGAAGAAAAAGUGAAGAACAUGGAACAUAAAAUGCUUCUGCAACAAAUGAAGGCAUUGGAGAAAUAUCCCGCUGAUGAAAGUUCCAGAUUGGUCUCACAAAUAAAAGAGGAUUAUGAGCAUGCAGAAAUGUUUAAGAAGGAUGGAAAAGCAAAAUUACCUUUUCCAAAGAGCCAGCGCUGUCUGAAGACGUCUCCGUGGUCAUGUGGCCGGCAUGGCUAAACACCAAAGGCACACGGAACGCUGUUAUCUUCCCACCAAAGGGAACAAUGAGUAAACCUGAAUGGGAAGCAGCAAGUCUAUACUUGAUUUUUGCAUUUGAAAAACUUUAAAAGGAAAAAAUGAAAUACAGAUGACGUGAUCAAGCAUCCAAACUGACAGCUGUUUUAUAUUUUUAUGUUUAAGCAUAUGCAGGAAACAACCAAGAUAGGGCAUGCUUAUAUUUGAGUCAUGGCUGCCUGUCUGUGACAGAUGGGUUUUUUGUUGUUGUUUGUAUGUGGUGUAUAUACAGUAUAUGUAUUAUGCCUUUUACUUUUUGUGUGGUAUGGCUAGGUUCCUACUUCUAACGAAAGAUGAGUUUUCUGGAAUACUCAGGGUGUUUUCAGGUACAGAGUUGCCACACUGACUCCUUAAAGCUGUAUCGUGACAGUUGUCACAGUACUGUAUGAAGAUCUGAUUAUAAUGUAGUAAUAUGAUAAUGUAACUGCUGCCAAUUAAAACAUUUAAGGAAUAAAGAAUUUGGUAAUUAUAUUGCUACAAAUUAUAGGACUACAAAUUACGUUGCCAAGGACUACAGGUUCACUUACUGUUACACUUGUUGCAAAAUAAAUUUCCAAGGUAUUAUCGCUUGAGAUCUGCUGCAAAAUGCUGUUGGGUUGUAUAAAGUUGUAGACUAGUAAAUUUGUAAGCACUGAAAUGUGAGUCUGGAUCCAGUAUUUGCUGCAAUCAGUAGAAAUGUUACCCUGUUUUGAAAUCUGUACUAGUGGGCAUUUUCUUUAGACAACCUUGUAAAGAGCUUACAUGAUUCAACAGCUCUUUCAUGUGUACGAGUUCUGUGUGUGUUGGGAUACCAGAACUUCAUUAUUAAUGGCUUGGAUUUUCUAUUUCACAGUGGAGUAUUUUCACUUUUAAAUUAAAUUGUGGUUGGUAUGUAGGGUCGGUAAUAUUUGGAGAAAUACUAUUGUUCUGUUUGUAUUCCUUAGAUUGUAAUUUCUUUAAAAAUAGGUAAUGAAAAUUAAAAAUAUUUCUCUUAUCACUUA